AGCAGAAUAGCUCAGUUGGAUACCUUUGGGUUUAGAGCAUCUCACAUGAAAUGAGAAGGUCUCGGGUUCAAUCCCUGGUUCAGCCA